UCUGGCGGUCUGAAAACGCCAUUAUCCAAGUCCAUUAUUUCAAAAAGGCCUAAAAAUCUUAUCCAACCCUAAUUUCGCACUGAAACUAACGAUGCCACCACUGUGUUAGAGGAAGGUCGAAAAUGACGCUACCAUUGUGAUGUGCUUCGACUACAGCCUCCUUCAUCGAGCUACUGUGGUGAGGUUCUUGUGGUUACGGCAACUUGUACAACCAAGGGUACGGAGACCAAAUUCUACGUAUAUAUAGGGUGAUACUAUAGUUGGUUUCAUUAUAUUUGUCUUGUUUUUCAUUCAGGAAGGGUAUUCUAUGUUCUGUUAUUUGGCCCUUUUGUUUUCCUUUUCAUGUUUAGAACAAAGAUGCUAAAAAGUGCAAUAAAAAGAGUGACUGUACUGUAUGAAAAACUAGAAACAAAAAAUAUUCAACAAUGAAUCUGGGAAUGUGGAGGAGAUGAAAAGACUGAUUUCAUUUUAUAAGGAGUCUUAAAAACAAGAAAAUAUCAUUGAAGUUGUUUGUUUCAUGCCAAUAACUAGUGAAUUAUUGUGUUAGAAGUGAUUAAUAGUUACCUUGUUUUGUGUUGAUUGAUCAGCAUUCUGUCUUCUUAUCUUGGGUGUAUCUUUUUGUCUUGUUGCUGCUGUUUUUGUGAGUGACUUUAAGUAUCAACAAAAAAAAAAAAAGAGAAAUUUGGACUACAUCAAAAUGUUGCCACCUUAUUCUUUGUUCCUAUUUUUUUAAGUUUGACUUAUAGAAUAUGCCCAAAGUUAACAAUAGAUAAGUAGAUUAUUGGAUAAUAUUAUUGGGACAUAAAUACUAUCAGGUAUAUAUCUAACUUCAUUAUAAUUAAUGUUGAAUUGAUCCAACUAUAUCAUUCGAAUGCAUGGCUCCUAUGAAGCUUUUCUAGCAGUUUUAUUAUGUUGUUCUCACUUUCUCUUGUGAUGUGAUGCCAACUUUUUUGUAAGUAUUAAACAAGAUAAGGUUAAAGUGGCAAACCAGCAUAUAUGGCCUUGUGAGUAGUAAUUAUGUAUCUAUAAUUUAUUAUCAAAAGCUUGACAUCUAUUACACUUAAUGAUUUGGUUAUUGUCUAUUUUAGGAGGUUCUUAUGGUUACGGCAACUUGUUUAGCUAAGGGUAUGAAGCGAACACACCAGCACUAAGCACCAGCACUAUACAAGGUUGAGAAAUCAGAACUGAAAUUAGGAUACUCAUUCUCUCCCUUGAACCUUCUUAUAAUUGAAAUAAGAACUUCUAUUAUUUUUUAAUUUUCUUUGCUUAGUUAUGAAUCUAGUUUGCUAUAACAAUUUUUUUAUGGAAUUUUGUUAUGUUCGCUGAAAUAUACAUAUGAUUUAUGUCAGUUAUAAAAUGACUUUGUCUUUGUUAUACAUUGCUAAAAAGGAGGUUUUUGCCUUUAUUGGCUAAUUCUUAUCUUAAUUAUCAAAUGUCUUCUUAUCUUACUUAUCAAAUAUAUUUUUAUAUCUAUUGCAUUUUUGUCCUAGAAAACUUUUGAACAUGAUCUAAACAUAACUUAUCCAUUAGAACUGAGCUUGAUUAUCAAAGUGUGUAGGACUGAAAUCCAAGUUCCAUCCAUUCCCCAUGUGCAAUUAUUUCUUGAGAGAAUUUGGAGUAGGAGUUGUUAGUACAAAUGAUCAAGAUUGUGUGAAAAAUAAAGUAGAAUUGCAGUGAUAUAUUUUUUUCUCUUUUUGAGCUUUAAAAUUGUUAUCUAAUUUUUAGUGACAGUUCCAUAUAUCAAGUUAUUGGUUUGCUUAUUAGAUGUUUCAAUGUUAUGUAACUGUCCUUAUCAAUAACUCUCAUUAUCUGAUAACAUUAAACAACAUCGAUUAAUUCCUUUUAACUGCAAGGUUUGAAGUUCGAACAAUGAUGAGUGAUUUUGAUUUACUGUCACAUGUAGUGUUCAUAACAUGUGUUGCUGAUGAUGUUGAUGUUUAGGUGAAAAUAUCAAUACUUCUUAUCUUGUAGCAUAUUUCUCAUGGAUGAAUUGUCUAUAUUGUUGCAAGUAAUUCAACAUCAAAUGCACUUGUUGUUUGAAAAUCUCCUCUUUGAAGUUGCUACUACAAAGAAGAGGAGGCUUAUUCUCUGGAGCGAGCAACAAGGAAUCAUGAUCUUGCAUGAUAAAGAUUUUAUGUAUUAAGGACCAUAUGUUAAGAUAUGUUAUUGAAAAAUUAUGUUAUCUUUGAUACUUUAUUUUUGGAUUAUGACUUUUGAUUUUCAGUGACCAUGUAUAAAUUAAAAAUCCUGUUAUCAUGUUUGAUUUAUAGCUAUGCCAUUUGGUUA